AUACGGAGGGAGCAAGCGUUAUUCGGAAUCACUGGGCGUAAAGGACGCGUAGGCGGGUUUGUAAGUCAGGUGUGAAAUCCUACAGCUCAACUGUAGAACUGCACUUGAGACUACAGACCUAGAGUAUGGAAGGGGCAGAUGGAAUUAGUGGUGUAGGGGUAAAUCCGUAGAUAUCACUAGGAAUACCGAAAGCGAAGGCGAUCUGCUGGGACAUUACUGACGCUGAGGCGUGAAAGCGUGGGGAGCAAACAGGAUUAGAAACCCUAGUAGUCC
rnacentral:rRNA from 1 species